rnacentral:rRNA from 1 species
CAGUAGCCACGGGAAUACGGAGGGGGCUAGCGUUGUUCGGAAUUACUGGGCGUAAAGCGCACGUAGGCGGCUUGGUAAGUUAGAGGUGAAAGCCCGGAGCUCAACUCCGGAAUUGCCUUUAAGACUGCCGAGCUAGUAGGUGAGAGAGGUAAGUGGAAUUCCGGGUGUAGAGGUGAAAUUCGUAGAUAUUCGGAAGAACACCAGUGGCGAAGGCGGCUUACUGGCUCAUUCUAGACGCUGAGGUGCGAAAGCGUGGGGAGCGAACAGGAUUAGAUACCCCAGUAGUCCCUGUCUCUUAUAA